CGCGAAUGGCUCAUUACAACAGCUAAAAUCUACUUGAUCUUGACACAAUCCUACUUGGAUAACUGUGGUAAUUCUAGAGCUAAUACAUGCAUUAAAGCUCUGACCUUCGGGGAAGAGUGCAUUUAUUAGAACAAAACCAAGCGGCUUCGGCUGUUUCUGGUUGACUCAUAGUAACUGAGCUGAUCGCACGGUCUUGCACCGGCGACGUGUCUUUCAAGUAUCUGCCGUAUCAACUUUCGAUGGUAGUGUAUCUGACUACCAUGGUGAUCACGCGUAACGGAGAAUAAGGGUUCGGCUCCGGAGAGUUCGCCUGAGAAAUCGCGAACACAUCUAAGGAAGGCAGCAGGCGCGAAAAUUACCCACUCUCAGCACGAGGAGGUAGUGACGAAAAAUAACGAGACCGUUCUCUUAUGAGGCCGGUCAUCGGAAUGGGUACAAUUUAAACCCUUUAACGAGUAUCUAUGAGAGGGCAAGGCGGUGCCAGCAGCCGCGGUAAUUCCAGCU
rnacentral:rRNA from 1 species